rnacentral:rRNA from 1 species
UACGGGGGGGGGCAAGCGUUGUUCGGAAUUACUGGGCGUAAAGGGCUCGUAGGCGGCCAACUAAGUCAGACGUGAAAUCCCUCGGCUUAACCGGGGAACUGCGUCUGAUACUGGAUGGCUUGAAUCCGGGAGAGGGAUGCGGAAUUCCAGGUGUAGCGGUGAAAUGCGUAGAUAUUGGGAGGAACACCGGUGGCGAAGGCGGGUCUCUGGGCCGAUGACUGACGUGGAGGAGCGAAAGCGUGGGGAGCGAACAGG